GACGAACGCUGGCGGCGUGCUUAACACAUGCAAGUCGAACGGAAAGGCCCUGCUUUUGUGGGGUGCUCGAGUGGCGAACGGGUGAGUAACACGUGAGUAACCUGCCCUUGACUUUGGGAUAACUUCAGGAAACUGGGGCUAAUACCGGAUAGGAGCUCCUGCUGCAUGGUGGGGGUUGGAAAGUUUCGGCGGUUGGGGAUGGACUCGCGGCUUAUCAGCUUGUUGGUGGGGUAGUGGCUUACCAAGGCUUUGACGGGUAGCCGGCCUGAGAGGGUGAACGGCCACAUUGGGACUGAGAUACGGCCCAGACUCCUACGGGAGGCAGCAGUGGGGAAUAUUGCACAAUGGGCGGAAGCCUGAGGCAGCAACGCCGCGUGCGGGAUGACGGCCUUCGGGUUGUAAACCGCUUUCGCCUGUGACGAAGCGUGAGUGACGGUAAUGGGUAAAGAAGCACCGGCUAACUACGUG
rnacentral:rRNA from 1 species